GUUUGCUGGAUUUGGAUAGUAAGGUGGGGGUGGAUACAUUGGGUAUUGUGAAUAUGGUGGAUAAUAAGGUGGGUAUGGCAUCUGUGUGGGAUAAGGGCUAAAGCUGUGGUAGUCCGAUGUGCCUCCCAUCGAAUACCCAGGGUUUUGUGAGAAGGGUGGGUAGUAAGGUGGCUGAACAAAUCCCGAGGCCUGGGUGCCUCCUUGGGAUUCUCCCAUUCCUUCUUCUGACAUGCUAACUCCCAGACUGCCAUCCCUUCUCUGCUCUACAUCCAUAUCAUCCCCCAUAUCCUCUGACGCUCCUCCC
rnacentral:lncRNA from 1 species